UGAUGAUGGUGAGGGAAACUAAUGAGUAACGAUUUAAAUCUAUCCCAAGAUUGGUAUAAAUUUUCUCUAAUUUUUUGCUUAAAACUUAAAAUUUUAGCCCUCAACUU